AAAUUAAAUUAGACUGUAAAAAUUUACUUUUUGAAAAAAUGUGGAAACUGACAAUUAAAUAUUGACUCAACAAAUGACAAAAAAAAAAUAAAUCCAGUGUAUUCAUUUUAGUCUGUGAUCUGAAGACAAAAUUAAAAAUAUUCACCAAACAUUAAUUUGUGCUCUGCCAAUUUAUCAAACAGAAGAGAAAUAUUUGUGUUUGGCGAACUAACCUUGCAGCAAAAAAAAAAAAAAAAAAAAAAAAAGCGCGUGUGCGCAUGCGCGUGAGAGUCGUUGGUUGAAGCAGAUUCAAAUUCCAGCGCAGCAAUGGCUGAUGUCCGACGAAACGCCACAUUCAGACGAAUUUUCCUUCAAUAAAGAUAUGGGCUGAAAUCCCUUCAUCAACCUGCUGUCAAAGGAUUUCAAUCACUUUAGAAUGGCUCUCCAUCUUUAAAGGUCAGUGAAAACAGUAAAGUUGUUGUCUUAAAUAGAAUUUUGCCAAAUAAAUAGUUUUUAUAA
rnacentral:lncRNA from 1 species